rnacentral:rRNA from 1 species
UACAGAGGUCUCAAUCGUUGUUCGGAUUCAUUGGGCGUAAAGGGUGCGUAGGCGGUCGGGUAAGUCUGGUGUGAAAUCCCGCAGCUCAACUGCGGAAUGGCACUGGAUACUAUUCGGCUGGAGGGUUGGAGGGGGGACUGGAAUUCUCGGUGUAGCAGUGAAAUGCGUAGAUAUCGAGAGGAACACCAGUGGCGAAGGCGAGUCCCUGGACAACUCCUGACGCUGAGGCACGAAAGCUAGGGGAGCAAACAGG